UUACUCUGGGGAUAACAGGCUGGUUUCGCCUAAGAGUCCAAAUCGACGGCGAAGUUCGGCACCUCGAUGUCGGCUCAUCUCAUCCCGGGGGUGGAGAAGCUCCCAAAGGUAUGGCUGUUCGCCAUUUAAAGAGGUACGUGAGCUGGGUUCAAACCGUUUUGACCGCGACAAGUAGUCGUUGUCAGUACGGUUUGAACCCCGAGGUAUAGAAAACGACAUCAUCACGGCGGCGAUAUGCAGCAAUGUAUAUCGAGAAGCUAACUAAUAUCGGUGAAAUCCUAUUCAAGUAAUUGAAGGACAACACCGAGGGAAGUUCGCAGACUUCGUUGAGAAGUUGUACAUUCCAACCAAUCCGGUGCGCAAGUGCCGGCUGGGGAGGUUGAGCCCGAUUGUUCAUAAGGGCGAAACGCACAACACUGUGCGGGUGGGAAGAUCGGGGGUUCUUUUGGGUCCCCCGAUAUAACCACACCUCCUCCUCUCAACGAAGUUUGUGAACGCCCGUAGAGACUAGAUGUUAGCCAUCCCGAGAUUUUCGAGGGAUGAAGGUAUAGUCCAAUGCACACAGUAAUGUGUGAAAAGUCCCGCUAUUGCAGAUGGCUGGAUGAAUACAUGCGUGAGACAGGUUGGUCUUAAUCUGCUGUAGGCGUUGAUUCUUGAGGGGACUCUGGUCUAGUACGAGAGGACCGAUCGGAACUGACCUCUGGUCUGGGGGCUGUACCACCAGGUGCACCGCCCCGUAGCUAUGUCGGGAAUUGAUAACCGCUGAAAGCAUCUAAGCGGGAAACUAACCCCAAGAUAAGGAAUCGUUUGAGGCUCGUGGGAGAUGACCACGUUGAUAGGCGCCAGGUGGAAGCGCAGUAAUGCGUGUAGCCGAGGCGUACUAAUCCGCCGACAGAACUCUUGAA
rfam:Candidatus Kaiserbacteria bacterium RIFCSPHIGHO2_01_FTLL_54_36 rifcsphigho2_01_scaffold_7615, whole genome shotgun sequence.